GCGGCCGUGACCCUGCUGGAGUGCGGGGGGGACCUCCAGCCCCCCGGGGGGUCCCUGCGCCUCCUCUGCCGAGGGGCCGGGUUCGAUUUUGGAGGUUCCACCCUGUAUUGGAUCCGCCAGAGACCCGGGCAGGCGCUGGAGUGGCUUGCAGGGUUCAGCAGCAGCGCCUACUACGCACCAUCAGUGCAGGGCCGGUUCACGAUCUCCAGGGACAACGGGCAGAGCUCGGUGACGCUGACCAUGAACAACCUCAAGGACGAGGAUUCCGCCGUUUAUUUCUGUGCCAAAGCAGCCGGUGCUCAUGGCAAUAAUGUUGCUGUUCAUGGCCGUGCCUUCAACCCAGCAAACAGCCCCAAUCCACCCAUUAAUUAA